GACGAACCUGACAAGCGUUAUUCGGAAUUACUGGGCUUAAAGGGUGCGUAGGCGGCGUGGCAAGUUGGGUGUGAAAUCCCUCGGCUCAACCGAGGAACUGCGCUCAAUACUGCCAUGCUCGAGGGAGACAGAGGUGAGCGGAACUUAGGGUGGAGCGGUGAAAUGCGUUGAUAUCGUAAGGAACACCGGUAGCGAAAGCGGCUCACUGGGUCUUUUCUGACGCUGGGGCACGAAAGCUAGGGUAGCGAACGGG
rnacentral:rRNA from 1 species